rnacentral:lncRNA from 1 species
ACACAAUCAUUUGGACAUGCAUGUAUCUUUUCACAGCGUAGGCCCAAGUCAUCGACUCCCAAACCGAGUCCUUUCAAUAAUUUUUUGGCUUCAUAAUGACUUGAUAGAAGUAACUCUCCCUCUGGUAGUAAGUCCUUCAAAAAUUUGAGCAACCAAUUAAACGAGUUGUUUGACCACUUACCAAGUAUCUUCAUGUGUAAUAACUUUAUUAUGG